GAUGAACGCUAGCGGCAGGCUUAAUACAUGCAAGUCGUGGGGCAGCAUGAAUGUAGCAAUACAUUUGAUGGCGACCGGCAAACGGGUGCGGAACACGUACACAACCUUCCUAUAAGUGGGGAAUAGCCCAGAGAAAUUUGGAUUAAUACCCCGUAACAUAAUGAUAUGGCAUCAUAUUAUUAUUAUAGCUUCGGCGCUUAUUGAUGGGUGUGCGGCUGAUUAGAUAGUUGGCGGGGUAACGGCCCACCAAGUCUACGAUCAGUAGCUUAUGUGGGGGCAUGAUCAGCCACCAGGGCACGGAGACACGGGCCCGACUUCUACGGGAGGCAGGAGUAAGGAGUAAUGGUCAAUGGACGCAAGUCUGAACCAGCCAUCCCGCGUGAAGUAUUAAAGUCCUCUGGAUUGUAACCUUCUUUUAGCUGGGACGAAAAAAGGCUUUUCUAGGUCACUUGGCGUUACCAGAUGAAUAAGCGCCGGCUAACUCCGUGCCAGCAGCCGCCGUAACAC
rnacentral:rRNA from 1 species